CUCUUUCAGCGCUUCACCCCGGAAGCUGCUGGGAAACCUCCAGGGCAGCGUCCGUCCGGAGCGUAGAGGCCUCUGGGAAUUGUAUUUUAGGCACACGGUGACCUCAGUAGGCCACCCCUAAGGCUUUUGGGAAAGUCCGUUGGCCGCGUCCGGAGCGCAGAGGCCUCUGGGAAUUGUAGUUUCACAACGAGGUGCUGGGAACGGGUCGGGCAGAUAGGCAAGUCCGGACAUCGGUGUACAAAAGGGAGAAACGUCGAGGGGAAAACUAUUCCAGAUUAAAAUAAAGGGGUCAAAAUGUCUUCUGGUUUGUGAGGUUUGGGUCAGGUGACCCUGGAAACAGGAAGUGGAAACCCGAAGCCGGGAGCGGGUGAGAAUUUAAGAAGAGAGUUUAAAUUUCACAAAGUGAUGAAAGGUUUCGCGGAGCCUACUUAUGUUUGAAAAAAUAUUUGUUUAGCAAAUUGAACUUGGGUAUCCUGUAUUUGAAAACCCUACCACCAGCCAAUGCAAGGAACUUAGACCAAUGCCUGAUUUCAAGUCCUACUUCGUUCUCCUCCUGGAAGCCUGUUGGGAAACGCCACCCACCCACCUACACAGCCUGGUCGGUCCGGAUGUAGCUUCUGUCAUUUGGCGUCGAUUGCACAUGGCCUUAGCGCUUGAAGGAAUCAGUCACAGGCAUUGGUUUUACUGUUUUCUUAAAAGCAAGGCAUAAAAAUAGUGCACGGGCUAAAAAUUGCACCCCUAAGUUUAAACCCAAAGCAUUGAGGCACAGGUUCAGUUGAAAACAUCAAUGUCCAUAUUAUAGAAUAUAUAGAAUACAAUACACAGCGCAGAGUCCGUAUUGUAGAAUAUGUUGUACGCUUUUCCCGAAUGAAGGAUGGAUGCAGGAGUGCACCAUGAAUGGUGUCACCCCAGGGGCACAUGAUCCCGAGUAGCACAAGAAAGAAAGCUGUGGUGAUCUAGCCAGGAAAACACUGUUGCUUCACGGCCUAAAACCAAAGCAGGACAAUGGAUGAUGCUCCGAACAGGGUUCCAUCUAACAGAAUCGAGAUACAAAACGUCUGAAAUAUUCCAGUAGAAGGCUGCACAGUGCAAAGACCAGGACUACAGCUCUCAGAGACAGAACUGUCCACCAGGAGCACUAAGUGUGCAAAGAAUGUCAACACUUCCCCCAUCUCAUUCCUAAUAACCAGAGCAAUUUUGGGCUGCAUAUUUGUACCUUUACUUUGGUUUCCUCUUUGUGAUGAGGCUUUUAUUUUGUCUAGCAUAUGGUUGAGCAAGAGUUAUUUUGGAGGACUUCAGAGGAAUGCUGAUGGACAUUAAGAACUGUUGGGCAUUCAGGAGGAUUCUGUGAGUGACAGUUUUUGCUAGCCCUGAUGGAUCAUCAAGUAUAAUUUCAUGGAGAUCAGUCAUGCAAAUUUGAAAGACCUUGAGAUAUCACGUGUAACAUGUCUCAUGCUUAACCUUGUGAGGACUUUUCCCUCAACAACCAAACCACCCCAAUGAGGCAUGUCUACAUUCAUCUUGAAGAGAUUAUUACCAUCUUGCCUGCUGUUUUGCUGUUUGCAUAGAUCAGCAACAGGCUAUAGGUGUAUGUUGGAAAAUCUGCAGCAAUUGAAUGUUGCUUAAUGUACCUGUUGCAUCUGUUUUUGGUUUGAAGUUUGAUUGCUUUAUGGGUUUGAUUUUCUUUGUUUUCAUUUCAA
rnacentral:sRNA from 1 species